CUCAGUUACAUCUGGUAAUUCUAGUUCCAGAAAUAGUUCCUGAUUGCAGACGGGUACUGAAGUUGCGUAGUUUACAAGUGUUGGAAUCUUCAGCAGGGAAAGGAGGUGUUUCGUGGGUUUUCAUUUUUCCUGAAGAUGUUAACAGAGUAGCAUUGUUGCCCCUUAUUUUGGAAGUCAAACAUGCAAUUAAAGUCUGCUGCUUCUAUCCUUUCUCGUCAACAUAUGCUAAGCAAAGGAGUCCAUCUGCUGAGUUUUACGAUCCCCAGAGUGUUGCAUCCCUCAAGUACUUCAGAUUUGGCCAUUACCAACAGAGGCUGCCUUCAGCAUGAUUCCUGUCUGCGUGCAGUAUUUGAUGUCGAACUUGAAGAGCAAUUCUGCAUAUACAAUUCAAUGUUCUGUUCUGCACAUCUCGAGGUUCAUCCUCUCCUUAGAACUUUCAGCAACCUUUAUAACCAUAUACAGCACAUCCUGAUUCAAAUAUCAGGAUGGUACUGCAGAAUUACAGCAAUUCCUA
ensembl:lncRNA